GGUGGUAGAGCGUGUGCUUUGCAUGCAUGAGGUCCUGGGUUCGGUUCCCAGUACCUCCA
rnacentral:tRNA from 1 species